GGCUGACGGCGGGAAACUGGGCCCAGAAGGCCGAGACCUGAGGUGCUUGUGGCGGACGAGAGCCUGGGCGCCGAGUGCCUCGCCGGGUGUCUGUUAACGGGCAUAAGGCCAUAGAUAGAGAAACAAAGAGAGAGCACGGCCGGGUCUCUUCAAAGCCUCCGGCCGACGAAAGGAUUGGUUCAGAACUGAAGGCCGUGACGAAGCUAUCGCUUCUCGGGUCCACGGGUCGGACGCUGAACAGGCACCAGACAACGUCUCGCGUUCAGGUCAGGCUUCGGCAGGUCGCGUGGCCCUCCCGGAAUGGCUCCCACGAACGGGCCCAGCGUCCAGCUGUCGAACGAAGCAAGGUCGGACGAACUUGAGAAACCUAGGAGCCCUGGGAUUUCUGCCAGAGCAGGUGUGAGGUUUGGUUCUCAGGAGCACUGUUAUGAAUGAGAAAGGAGAAAAACGCCCUUCCUCCAAGCAUUUUAUCAUCUAGUGAAGCCAGAACACAUUAAGAUGCAAGACAGUCUAAGAAAGGGAAGCUAUGUCCACUACCACUAGGAGUGCAUACAAAGGAGGACUGCCUGCCAGCACAGUUAGGGAAAUUCAAUUCAUUUUGUAAUUUAAUCCCCAGCACAACACUCUGAGCAUUUCUCCCUGUGAAAAGAUUAUGCAUCCCUCCCUACUGAACUCAGAAGAGACUUUGUGGGACUUCCCUGGUGGUCCAGUGGAUAAAAAUCUGCCC